GUUGUGGCUCAGAGGUAGAGUGCUCGCCUACCAUGCGUGAAACACUGGGUUCAAUCCUCAGCACAACA
rnacentral:tRNA from 1 species